UAGUGCCAGCGAKUUAGUCGGGAACUCUAAUGUGACUGCCGUGACAAAACGGAGGAAGGUGGGGAUGACGUCAAAUCAUCAUGCCCCUUAUGUCCUGGGCUACACACGUACUACAAUGGCCGGUACAGACGGAAGCGAAGCCGUGAGGCGGAGCAAAACCGAGAAAGCCGGUCUCAGUUCGGAUUGUAGUCUGCAACUCGACUACAUGAAGUCGGAAUCGCUAGUAAUCGCAGGUCAGCAUACUGCGGUGAAUACGUUCCCGGGCCUUGUACACACCGCCCGUCACACCACGAAAGCUGACAACACCCGAAGCCGGUAGCUACCGCAGGAGGMBGCCGUCRAGGUGGGGUUGGUAUUGGGGUAAGUCGWAMAGGWGCCGWUUCGRAGGUGCGGCUG
rnacentral:rRNA from 1 species